GAUGAAGAACGCAGCGAAAUGCGAUAAGUAAUGUGAAUUGCAGAAUUCAGUGAAUCAUCGAAUCUUUGAACGCAUCUUGCGCUCCUUGGUAUUCUGAGGAGCAUGCCUGUUUGAGUGUCAUUAAAUUCUCAACUACACUGACUUUGAAUUGGUGUGGCUUGGAUGUGGGGGGAAAAUUGUUGUGGGCUUUUUGUAUAGUCUGCUCCCCUGAAAUUGAUUAGCGGUACCUUUGUGGAACUGUCUACAGGUGUGAUAAUUAUCUACAUCUUAGACAUCUGCUGGAAUGCUGCUUUCUAAACCUUACUUGUAUUGACAAUCUUGACCUCAAAUCAGGUAGGACUACCCGCUGAACUUAAGCAUAUCAAUAAGCGGAGGA
rnacentral:misc_RNA from 1 species